GACGAACGCUGGCGGCGUGCUUAACACAUGCAAGUCGAGCGAGGUCCAUCCAGUGGCAACACUGGGGAAGACCUAGCGGCGAACGGGUGAGUAACACGUGAGCAACCUGCCCCGAAGACUGGGAUAACACCGGGAAACCGGUGCUAAUACCGGAUGCCCUCCUCUGGUCGCAUGGCCUAGGGAGGAAAUGAAUUUUGCUUCGGGAGGGCUCGCGGGCUAUCAGCUUGUUGGUGAGGUAACGGCUCACCAAGGCGACGACGGCUAGCUGGUCUGAGAGGACGACCAGCCACACUGGGACUGCGACACGGGCCAGACUCCUACGGGAGGCAGCAGUAAGGAAUAUUGCGCAAUGGGCGAAAGCCUGACGCAGCGACGCCGCGUGGGGGAUGAAGGUCUUCGG
rnacentral:rRNA from 1 species